AGCGAACGCUGGCGGCAGGCCUAACACAUGCAAGUCGAACGAAGCCUUCGGGCCUAGUGGCGGACGGGUGAGUAACACGUGGGAACGUACCUUUUGGUUCGGAACAACUCAGGGAAACUUGAGCUAAUACCGGAUGAGCCCUUAGGGGGAAAGAUUUAUCGCCGAAAGAGCGGCCCGCGUUAGAUUAGCUAGUUGGGGAGGUAAAGGCUCACCAAGGCUACGAGCUAUAGCUGGUCUGAGAGGAUGAUCAGCCACACUGGGACUGAGACACGGCCCAGACUCCUACGGGAGGCAGCAGUGGGGAAUCUUGCGCAAUGGGCGAAAGCCUGACGCAGCCAUGCCGCGUGAAUGAUGAAGGUCUUAGGAUUGUAAAAUUCUUUUACCAGGGACGAUAAUGACGGUACCUGGAGAAAAAGCCCCGGCUAACUUCGUGCCAGCCGCCGCGGUAACAC
rnacentral:rRNA from 1 species